rnacentral:rRNA from 1 species
GGUUGCGAUCAUACCAGCACUAAUGCACCGGAUCCCAACAGAACUCCGCAGUUAAGCGUGCUUGGGCGAGAGUAGUACUAGGAUGGGUGACCCCCUGGGAAGUCCUCGUGUUGCAACCCC